ACUCCUACGGGAGGCCAGCAGUGGGGAAUAAUUCACAAGGGCGCAAGCCUGAUGCAGCCAUGCCGCGUGUAUGAAGAAGGCCCUUCGGGUUGUAAAAGUACUUUCAGCAGUGAGGAAGGUAGUGUAGUUAAUAGCUGCAUUAUUUGACGUUAGCUGCAGAAGAAGCACCGGCUAACUCCGUGCCAGCAGCCGCGGUAAUAC
rnacentral:rRNA from 1 species